AACGUAGGACGCAAGCGUUAUCCGGAGUUACUGGGCGUAAAGCGCGGGCAGGCGGCUCGAAACGUCUGAUGUGAAAUCUCCUCGUUCAACGGGGAGAGGCCAUUGGAAACGGUCGAGCUGGAGGGCAGUAGAGGUAGGCGGAAUUCCGGGUGGAGUGGUGAAAUGCGUAGAGAUCCGGAGGAACACCAGAGGCGAAAGCGGCGCUCUGGGCUGCACCUGACGCUGAACUGCGAAAGCCAGGGGAGCGAACGGG
rnacentral:rRNA from 1 species